rnacentral:rRNA from 1 species
CAGUCGCCGCGGUAGUACGUAGGGUGCGAGCGUUAAUCGGAAUUACUGGGCGUAAAGCGUGCGCAGGCGGUUGUGUAAGACAGGUGUGAAAUCCCCGGGCUUAACCUGGGAACUGCGCUUGUGACUGCACAGCUAGAGUAUGGCAGAGGGGGGUGGAAUUCCACGUGUAGCAGUGAAAUGCGUAGAGAUGUGGAGGAACACCGAUGGCGAAGGCAGCCCCCUGGGCCAAUACUGACGCUCAUGCACGAAAGCGUGGGGAGCAAACAGGAUUAGAUACCCCCGUAGUCCCUGUCUCUUAUAC